rnacentral:tmRNA from 1 species
GGGGAUGACCGGUAUAGACAGAGGACUGUCUUUUGGAAUGCGCGGUGGAGCUCCAACAACUCCUUAAAAGGUUGGAAACAUAACUGCAAAAAAUGCGGUUGCAAAGGUAGCGGCCAUCUUGUCUCCAUAUUUUGGAGCAAACGACCUUGCCUUCGUUCACGCUUAAACACGUGAGCUUGUCCAGCGAGCCACGCCUUGAGUGGCUUGCCCGGGCAUGAUAAAUUCAGGAUAGAUUGUGUUCCCUUCUCGGCUCACAUUCGAAACUUAGAGAAUAAGCGCUAAUGUGUUCUGUUUGUUUUAUAGCCUUAGCGCCGAAAACAUAAAGACAAACUACAUCGUGUAGACGUUCCAGAUUUCACCCUUUGCACGUGAGUUCGAUUCUCACCAUCUCCAUAG